rnacentral:lncRNA from 1 species
UGAUAAAGUAAAAUGAACUUGAAAUUAAACUUAAUUGAAGUGCGAUAACAAUGAAAAGCAAAGCAAUUGAAAUAAACUUGAAUUUAAAUGACAAGAAAAAUAAAUUGAACUAGAAUUUAAACUUAUACUAAGAAAAGGAAGAACUCACUACACUAGGUGCAUGAAAAGUAAAAUCCUAAGUCUAGGAAAAGAAAAGUGCGAGAUGAAAAAUAGGUUUGUCUGUCUGAUGUUGUGUGUUUUUUGUCUUCGUUUGGUGAGGUUUAUAUAGGGCAUUCGUCAGCCCAUAGGCUGGCCAUUGAAUGGCCAAAUAUCAACUCUUUUUAAAACUCUUUCCUUUUGAAGCCCCUAAAAUCCGUGGAUCAUGUCGGCGGAGAUAUUAUGGUUGCUUGAUUUUCUCUCAUUUUGGAAAAUUCUGAAUUGUCAUCAACCGUCUUGAUUUCUUUCCUUGUGAGGCCUCCGUCACGUGCAUACUGACCUCCGGAAAUCUUGGGCUCGAAUUUGUGGCUUGAGCUUGGACCUCCGAGAUUUCAUCUUGGUGGAACCUCGUACCUUUUGAAGUUUUAGAAUUCUAGAGUUGGCUGACCAUCCACCAAGGUGGGCGGUAUGGGAGCUCCAAAUAUUUGGAUGUUGGGCUUGCCUAUGUUAGACUAUCUUUGAGUUCUCAAAAUAUUUGAAUAUUGGGAACUCGGAAGACAUACUUCCUGCCGAACAACUCUUUCGGUGGAAAUACCUCCCGCCAAACUUCAACUCUCUCGGCCCAACUUUGCAUGCCCAAGUGUUGCGAUAUGGCACAUGGGUGCGCAAGGAGAAAAUCCACCUCGGCCCAAUUUUUUGCAAGAGGACUGGCCGACCAAGGUAUUUAAGGAGUGCCCGGGCACUUUUGCAAAAGGAAACGUUUGACUAAUUUUGCAAGGAUACGCCCGGCCACUUUUGCAAAGGGAAAUGCUUGACCAUAUUUUUGAGAAGGCACCAUGGCCUUUGAGGAAAACACCUCGGCCACCUUUUUGAGAAGGCAUCUCGAUCGCUAGGAUUUCUUGGCUACUAGGAAUCCCUCGGACCCUAAAAACCCUCGGCUGCUAGGAAUUAUCGACCGGUAGGAAUCCCGCCGCUAGGAAUUCCGCCGCUAGGAAUUCUUGACCUCUAAGAAUCUCGCCGCUAGGAAUUGCCCCACUAGGAAUCCCUCCUCGGCGGAUUGGGUGAAUUUUGACCACCCUCAAACAACGCCCAAAAAAACUAACAGAAUUGACGAAAAGGACGAGUGGUGCAAAGUGAUAUCUAAUUGAAG